UACAGAGGGUGCUAGCGUUGUUCGGAAUCAUUGGGCGUAAAGGGCGUGUAGGCGGUUUGUUAAGUCAUGUGUGAAAUCCCUCGGCUCAACCGGGGACGACGCAUGAAACUGGCAGCUAGAGUACCAAAGAGGGGGUGGAAUUCCCGGGUGUAGCGGUGAAAUGCGUAGAUAUCGGGAGGAACACCUGUGGCGAAGGCGGCCCCCUGGUUGGAUACUGACGCUGAGACGCGAAAGCG
rnacentral:rRNA from 1 species